AUGCAGGAAAGGGGUCCCCAGCCCUGGCUCAGGAUCCGGAUCCUAGACAGCUCGUCUAGGGCCUCGGGGGCGGAGCGCGUUCCGUUGACUCAGCGCGGAAAGUCCUCGUGGGCGGCCCGGGCGUGGGACAAGCGCCCGACUGACGUCCGCGCGGGGGCGACAGGGCUGACGCAGAGCGGCGGGGGAUUCCUGCUCCGCGGGGAGAGGUGCCCAUGGGCCACUGCAUCCUCUCCGGGCCCAGGGAUGACAGAGGCAGCAGAGCCAGCCUCUCCCUGGGGAUUAGGUCACCUCUGCAAAUGCGGCCUUGACUGGCUGGCUGGACCAGGGGAACAGUCCCACUCUGGCUGGGAGGAGAGCUGGAACAUCCUGGGACCACACAACAGCCACCACGGGGCCCAUCAGGAGCCCCAGCCAAUGCAGGUAGAGGCCAGGGGAAGGAGAAGCCUGGGAGCUGAGGCAGGAGGAACAGAGGGUGCUUGGCGUUAUCAGGAGGUGACCCGAGCUGACGUGGCUCUGUAGCCAGCAGGGAAGGUGGUCCUGACCCCAAAGUCCCAGGUGUGGGUUUUGUGAAGACAGGGGUGCACUUGGCCCUCCCCCCCAGGAGGCCCCCUCUCCCUGGUAGAGGCUGGUCUUCCAGACUUGGGGCACAAAGCUGGCCAGCGGGCUGCAGAGGAGGCACUGCUGAGCUUGACCCCUCAUGGAGAGCCCAUGAGACAAGCUGGGAGGGGACUCAGGGCUCCCGGGCCCCAGACACACAGUGACAAGUGCACUCCUGGCCUGAGGACUGCACACGCCAGCCACAGCAGCAGGAAGCUGAGGGGAGUGUGGGUGGGAAGGCUGUGAGUGACAGGACAGGUCAGUCCCCUCCCCGGGUCUGUACCCGGGGAGGCCUGGCCCUACUUCUCCGAGCCCCAGUCUCUGGCUCCCGGCUACACCUCCAGGGUGCUGGCCAGAGACCUGGCAGCGCUGCCCUCUAGAGGGACUGUGGCUCUGGCAUCUCUGGGGAAGGAGUGGCAGGUGGCCAGCGUGGGAAGACAGGCCCUGUGGUGCUCUAAUGCAGGGCAGGGGUCCCAGCAGCCCCUCCCACCAGUGGUGGAGCCUGCUGGGGUGGGGAGCAUAGGUGGGCGAGGCAGCAGGAGGGCGUAGGACUUGGCAGCGACCAUUUGGUGAGGUGAG
rnacentral:lncRNA from 1 species